AGUUUUUUUAGAAAUAAAUUUAAUUUACAAAUUUUUAAUUUUUAAUUUUUUUUUAGAAAAUUUAAAAAAUUAUAAAUUUGAAUAUUUUAAGGGAUAAGCUUUAAAAUAAAUUAUUAAAAUUAUUUAAAUAAUUAAUUUAAAAUGUAUGUGUAGAAUUAGCAAUCAUUAAUAAAUUUGUUAUAAAUUAUUAAUAUAAUUUAUUAUUUAUUAUUUUUUAAUUAAUUUAUAAAAAUUUUUUUGUUAAUUUUUAAUAAAAAGUAAUAAUGAUUAAAUUAGUAUAUAAGUAAUAUUGUUUUGAUAUUUUAUUUUGAAAAGUUUAUAUAAAGAACUCGGCAAAUUAAUAAAUAAGUUAUUAUUUAAAUUAUACCCGCCUGUUUAACAAAAACAUGUCUUUUUGAGUUAAUUUUAAAGUCUAGCCUGCCCACUGAAUAAUUUUUAAAUGGCCGCAGUAUUUUGACUGUGCAAAGGUAGCAUAAUCAUUAGUCUUUUAAUUGAAGGCUGGUAUGAAUGGUUGGACGAGGUAUAUACUGUUUCAUAUAAAUUUAUUAUAGAAUUUUAUAUUUUAGUAAAAAAGCUAAAAUUUUAUUAAAAGACGAGAAGACCCUAUAAAUCUUUAUAUUUAAUUUUAUAUAAAUUUUUUAGAUAAAUUUUAUUUUUAUAAUAUUAAAUAUUUUGUUGGGGUGAUAUUAAAAUUUAAUUAACUUUUAAUUAUUUAAGAUCAUUAAUUUAUGAUUUGUUGAUCCAAUAGUAUUGAUUAUAAGAUUAAGUUACUUUAGGGAUAACAGCGUAAUUUUUUUUAAGAGUUCAUAUCGAUAAAAAAGUUUGCGACCUCGAUGUUGGAUUAAGGUAUAAUUUUGGGUGUAGCUGUUCAAAAUUAAGUCUGUUCGACUUUUG
rnacentral:rRNA from 1 species